UUUUUUCUUCUGUUCAAUGUUUAGCCUUGUGUCAUUCAGGAAGAAACUUUUUCCGUGAUCUCAGACUUUGUAUUAGGGUUGAAUGCUUUCUCCUUGACAGCCAUCAGAAAUAAAGAAGCUCACUUCCAGUACGUAGCCAGAAGCACAAUACCAGCAACCCGUGGACAGCCCAAGCUCUACAAAGGAUGUAACACUUUCAAGAGGGUUUCCAGUGACUGGGUUCAGUCCCGUGGAGAAGACAGAUGCACCUGAAGACUCAGACAAGAGUCACUUGAGAUAAGAAGGUGAAGUCUGUGGGGACAGGAGUGAAUCACCUUGGAUUAGAAGAUGAAGGUCUGGGAGAUGGCUUUCUGGACUGUCACACUCACAUUGACAGGGUUCACACUUCCAUGGAGUUGGUGAAAUAUUAAAGUAACAUCUUCUCUGCUUCUGGGAA